rnacentral:ncRNA from 1 species
UGGCUGAGAAAAGAGUUUUAAUGUUUAAAAAAAGAGAUCAUCCUUACGCGUUAUGAUCUCGAAGCGACAGGCACAAAACGGAGAGAAACUAUGUUUGAA